AUGAACGCUAGCGACAGGCUUAACACAUGCAAGUCGAGGGGCAGCACAGGUAGCAAUACCGGGUGGCGACCGGCGCACGGGUGAGUAACGCGUAUGCAACUUGCCUAUCAGAGGGGGAUAACCCGGCGAAAGUCGGACUAAUACCGCAUGAAGCAGGGGCCCCGCAUGGGGAUAUUUGCUAAAGAUUCAUCGCUGAUAGAUAGGCAUGCGUUCCAUUAGGCAGUUGGCGGGGUAACGGCCCACCAAACCGACGAUGGAUAGGGGUUCUGAGAGGAAGGUCCCCCACAUUGGUACUGAGACACGGACCAAACUCCUACGGGAGGCAGCAGUGAGGAAUAUUGGUCAAUGGCCGAGAGGCUGAACCAGCCAAGUCGCGUGAGGGAUGAAGGUUCUAUGGAUCGUAAACCUCUUUUAUAAGGGAAUAAAGUGCGGGACGUGUCCCGUUUUGUAUGUACCUUAUGAAUAAGGAUCGGCUAACUCCGUGCCAGCAGCCGCGGUAAUACGGAGGAUCCGAGCGUUAUCCGGAUUUAUUGGGUUUAAAGGGUGCGUAGGCGGCCUUUUAAGUCAGCGGUGAAAGUCUGUGGCUCAACCAUAGAAUUGCCGUUGAAACUGGGGGGCUUGAGUAUGUUUGAGGCAGGCGGAAUGCGUGGUGUAGCGGUGAAAUGCAUAGAUAUCACGCAGAACCCCGAUUGCGAAGGCAGCCUGCCAAGCCAUUACUGACGCUGAUGCACGAAAGCGUGGGGAUCAAACAGGAUUAGAUACCCUGGUAGUCCACGCAGUAAACGAUGAUCACUAGCUGUUUGCGAUACACUGUAAGCGGCACAGCGAAAGCGUUAAGUGAUCCACCUGGGGAGUACGCCGGCAACGGUGAAACUCAAAGGAAUUGACGGGGGCCCGCACAAGCGGAGGAACAUGUGGUUUAAUUCGAUGAUACGCGAGGAACCUUACCCGGGUUUGAACGCAUUCGGACCGAGGUGGAAACACCUUUUCUAGCAAUGGCCGUUUGCGAGGUGCUGCAUGGUUGUCGUCAGCUCGUGCCGUGAGGUGUCGGCUUAAGUGCCAUAACGAGCGCAACCCUUGCCACUAGUUACUAACAGGUUAGGCUGAGGACUCUGGUGGGACUGCCAGCGUAAGCUGCGAGGAAGGCGGGGAUGACGUCAAAUCAGCACGGCCCUUACAUCCGGGGCGACACACGUGUUACAAUGGCGUGGACAAAGGGAUGCCACCUGGCGACAGGGAGCGAAUCCCCAAACCACGUCUCAGUUCGGAUCGGAGUCUGCAACCCGACUCCGUGAAGCUGGAUUCGCUAGUAAUCGCGCAUCAGCCAUGGCGCGGUGAAUACGUUCCCGGGCCUUGUACACACCGCCCGUCAAGCCAUGGGAGCCGGGGGUACCUGAAGUCCGUAACCGAAAGGAUCGGCCUAGGGUAAAACUGGUGACUGGGGCU
rnacentral:rRNA from 1 species